UAAAAGACAAUAAUACAAAAAUAUGUCAAAUAAAUCAGAUUUUCAGAAAAGGAGAAAAAAGAGAAAAGUUUGGUAUGAUGAUGAAUGUGAAGUUAAGUACAGACAUGUGAAACAAUUGGCAAGGAAUUUAAGUAAUAAUCCUUGGGACAAAAAUUUGAGACAAACUAAAAGUUGCUUUAAAUAAAAAGGAAUUUAACAAAUUAACCAG
rnacentral:lncRNA from 1 species